rnacentral:rRNA from 1 species
UACGUAGGGUGCAAGCGUUACUCGGAAUUACUGGGCGUAAAGCGUGCGCAGGCGGUUGUGCAAGACAGGUGUGAAAUCCCCGGGCUUAACCUGGGAACUGCACUUGUGACUGCAUAGCUGGAGUACGGCAGAGGGGGAUGGAAUUCCGCGUGUAGCAGUGAAAUGCGUAGAUAUGCGGAGGAACACCGAUGGCGAAGGCAAUCCCCUGGGCCUGCACUGACGCUCAUGCACGAAAGCGUGGGGAGCAAACAGG